AUUGAACGCUGGCGGCAGGCCUAACACAUGCAAGUCGAGCGAGCGGCGGACGGGUGAGUAAAGUAUGGGAAACUGUCUGCUGGAGGGGGGGAACUACUGGAGACGGUAGCGAAUACCGCAUAUGAACAGAGGUGCCCAGAUGGGAUUAGCUAGUAGGUGGGGUAAUGGGUCACCUCGGCGACGAUCCCUAGCUGGUCUGAGAGGAUGACCAGCCACACUGGAACUGAGACACGGUCCAGACUCCUACGGGAGGCAGCAGUGGGGAAUAUUGCACAAUGGGCGCAAGCCUGAUGCAGCCAUGCCGCGUGUAUGAAGAAGGCCUUCGGGUUGUAAAGUACUUUCAGCGAGGAGGCGUUACUCGCAGAAGAAGCACCGGCUAACUCCGUGCCAGCAGCCGCGGUAAUAC
rnacentral:rRNA from 1 species